GUUUCACCGUAACACUUGCACAUUGACAUUUUUGAUAGAUUAUCAUAGAAAUGAAUGUUUCGGUAAAGUCACAGAUCAGACUGAUACACGUAUAUGUCAAUUUAAAAGAUUUAAGGAAAGGUAAAGAAUUUUCUCUACCUCGAAAAUCACCGACCCUUGUCGAAGUCCCACAUUCGUUGUCAGCUCUUCCAGCUAAAAUGACAAACAGUUAUUGAGCCAUAUCGGUGUUUGUCGACGGCUGUACAAAAUGGAGAAAGAUCACGAAAACAAGGUGCCGAGAGUUCAAAUACAGGAUGAAUUUAUGAGUCCGGAUAGACCCCUGACGUCAUCUGAGCGUGUUCUAUUUGGAAUGCUGGUGUUUUUCAUGUACAGCGUGUUUAUCGUGGCUGUAAGCCUCACAGCACAUUACAACCAAUGAACGAAACAAUUCACUUUGCUCGAGAUGGAUAACAACUUAUAUUAUGUGUAGCCGGAAUGAGUCAUCUAACAAAUCGUCAAAGUUUACCAAGCUGAUCUUGGAAUGGAUAUUUUUACCCUGUGAUUUGAACCAUUUGCUUGUAUAUCAGUUGCUGACCUACUAGCCUCGUUAUGAAAUUUUCAAGGAGAUUAACUCAUAUUGUAUAGAUAUGAUGUAUUUGUGUUAAAUAAAAAUAGAAUCGAAUCGCUUAAAAGUAAUUUUGGCAAGGAAGCAAACACACACGUGUUGUCAGUGAUCACGCUGAUCCUAGAACCCAUCUUGUCCAUCAAACACAUAUAAUUUUAUUCUUUGAACUGAUACGGUUACCAUAGAAACUUAUAGCUUUGACAAAAUUACAGAGGAUCAUGUUUGUGACUCUUUCCCACUUUUUUAAUAACAUCAAUUAUGUAAUUAUCACCGAAAUGGAAAUAAACUUUUAUUACCAUGAUGUACCACAUUGCUAACAACAUUGUGAACAUGCCAUCCAUCCCUCUACAACCUACUGGAACAGCAACAGGAGGUCAUACAAAACGGUUUCUACAACCAUUCUGCCACAUCAAAAGUUACCAGGAUUCAUUUUCCCAACCACUAUUUCCCUUUGGACAUUGUGGACACCGAUUCACUUGAGACUUUCAAAGUCCGAAUCGGCGAACUUAUGACACUGUGAAUAGAGAAAUUCUUUUUGUCCAGUUUUUCAUCCCAAAAGUCCUUCACCAUAAGAUUUUAACCUUUUAUUUCUAUACGACUCUGCUCUGAGUGGAUUGUAUGUUGUGAGAGAACUAUGGCUAGUAUGGUUGUCACUGCUCGCUGUAAAUUUAUAAUAAUUUUCUUUUAUACCUGUAUUUGCAUAUUGUCAAACUAAUGAAAUAAUUAAUGAUGAGGAGGCUGUUUGUGAAACACCCGACUCUACUUUUCGUGUUGUCUGUUUAGCAUUACAGUCAAGAUAGCACAUACGUCUGAUUUCAU